CAGAAAAUAGUUUAUUUAAAAUAUUAAUUUUGGAGAUUAAUGAAAGGUGAUGUUACUUUUUUCUGA
rnacentral:tRNA from 1 species